rnacentral:rRNA from 1 species
AUGCCCCCUCAGCACCACUUGUUGCGCCACUUCCCAACAAAUGUCGGUCUCCCGCAUCACUGCUUGCAGUGCCCCACUCCACAGCUCCACCGUAGUCGACGCUGGCCGCCCCGCGUCACCACUCGCAUCAAUGAAACACGGUGUUUGCAGCACUGCCUCACUCGACACAGAACAGUUGUCGCCAGCUCGCUAGUGCUUCUCGCCUCUUCCCGGGCCAUACUAAGCGACGACCCAUACAUAACCAGUCAGGUUUCCCGGGCCAUACUAAGCAAGGACCCAUACAUAACCAAAAACCAAACCUGUCUAACAGACAAUGCAGAUGCCUAA